AGGGAAAUAGCUCAGUGGUAGAGCACAUGCUUACCACACAAGAGGUCCUGGGUUCAAUCCCCAGUAACUCCA
rfam:Camelus ferus unplaced genomic scaffold scaffold429, whole genome shotgun sequence.